GAUUAUGGCUCAGGAUGAACGCUAGCUACAGGCUUAACACAUGCAAGUCGAGGGGCAGCAUGAUCUUAGCUUGCUAAGAUUGAUGGCGACCGGCGCACGGGUGAGUAACGCGUAUCCAACCUUCCCUAUAGUAGAGGAUAGCCCGGCGAAAGUCGGAUUAAUACUCUAUGUUAUUCAAUGCAGACAUCUAAGUUGAAUCAAAGGUUUACCGCUAUAGGAUGGGGAUGCGUCUGAUUAGGUUGUUGGCGGGUAACGGCCCACCAAGCCCUCGAUCAGUAGGGGUUCUGAGAGGAAGGUCCCCCACAUUGGAACUGAGACACGGUCCAAACUCCUACGGGAGGCAGCAGUGAGGAAUAUUGGUCAAUGGGCGAGAGCCUGAACCAGCCAAGUAGCGUGCCAGGAAGACGGCCCUAUGGGUUGUAAACUGCUUUUAUACAGGGAUAAAGUGUGCCACGUGUGGCGUUUUGUAGGUACUGUAUGAAUAAGGACCGGCUAAUUCCGUGCCAGCCGCAGC
rnacentral:rRNA from 1 species